GAUUAACGCUGGCGGCGUGCAUAACACAUGCAAGUCGAACGAUGAAACUCAUUAGAUUUCUUCGGAAUGAAAAUGAAUGGAUUAGUGGCGAACGGGUGAGUAACGCGUGAGUAACCUGCCUUACACAAGGGGAUAGCCUCUGGAAACGGAGAAUAAUACCCUAUGAAACCAGACAAUCGCAUGAUAAUCUGGUCAAAAUGUUUAGUGGUGUAAGAUGGACUUGCGUCUGAUUAGCUAGUUGGUGAGAUAAAAGCUCACCAAGGCAACGAUCAGUAGCCGGCUUGAGAGAGUGUACGGCCACAUUGGGACUGAGACACGGCCCAGACUCCUACGGGAGGCAGCAGUGGGGAAUUUUGCACAAUGGGGGAAACCCUGAUGCAGCGACGCCGCGAGAUUUAGAAGGCCUUCGGGUUGUAAAAAUCUUUUGUAUAGGAAGAAAAUGACAGUACUAUACGAAUAAGGUCCGGCUAAUUACGUG
rnacentral:rRNA from 1 species